CCGCAUUUGCUGUUGCUUUCCUUCUUUGUUUCUUUUCAGGUAGCAUUCUCUUCUGCGGCUGCCUCACCACUUCUGCUCUUCCAGACACCCCAAAUCUACCACUACACUCAGCCUGCUAGCACGCCUAGAUCUUGCUUUCUUCCAGUAUGAUUCCACCAGCUCCCUGAACUUCAGAAAUCUUUUAAGCAGAAGAUGGACUAUCCUGACGCCAUUCAGUACACUGGAUCCCUGGACAGCUCUUCACAGACUCUGGGAAAUGAAAUGUAAGGGAUGACACUAGCUAGGCGUUUCUCCUGACAUCUUGGCAGAGAUGAGAUGAUCAACUUAGUCCUGAGAGAUUUGAUGGAGAAUAGGUUUUGUGAAUGGAUUUGGGAGCUCAUACAAUGCAUGGAGGCAACAUGGAAGAAGAUGGAAAGGCAGCAAUGGGAAAUGGAUGGUGGCGAGUAUGGUGUUGGCUGAACUGAGAGCAAGUUACAAUUCAAUAAGAAACAAGAGGAUAACUAGCUGUCAGGCUUACUAGUGUGAAGAGGAUAUUUCUGAGAGGGAUUUGUGAAUUCUGCUAUCUUGAAGCUGGCACAUCACUGACUAAUAGAGAGAAGUGAAGGCAGGCUGAUUUACCAAAUGGCUUUCAGUGAUAUCAGAGUUGAUAAAAAGGCCAGGGGAG